rnacentral:rRNA from 1 species
GACGAACGCUGGCGGCGUGCCUAAUACAUGCAAGUAGAACGCUGAAGGAGGAGCUUGCUUCUCUGGAUGAGUUGCGAACGGGUGAGUAACGCGUAGGUAACCUGCCUGGUAGCGGGGGAUAACUAUUGGAAACGAUAGCUAAUACCGCAUAAUAGUAGAUGUUGCAUGACAUUUGCUUAAAAGGUGCAAUUGCAUCACUACCAGAUGGACCUGCGUUGUAUUAGCUAGUUGGUGGGGUAACGGCUCACCAAGGUGACGAUACAUAGCCGACCUGAGAGGGUGAUCGGCCACACUGGGACUGAGACACGGCCCAGACUCCUACGGGAGGCAGCAGUAGGGAAUCUUCGGCAAUGGACGGAAGUCUGACCGAGCAACGCCGCGUGAGUGAAGAAGGGUUUCGGAUCGUAAAGCUCUGUUGUAAGAGAAGAACGAGUGUGAGAGUGGAAAGUUCACACUGUGACGGUAUCUUACCAGAAAGGGACGGCUAACUACGUG